AUGGGCGGCGCCGACGACAUGCGCCGCCUGGCCCGCGAGGAGGAGCACGACACCGAGGCGUUCUCGCAGCUUGUCCCGGACCUGGACGUGGCGCAGCUGCCCGCUCGCGUUCUCGCCGUGCAGGUCACCAGGCCGGCGGCGGGCCACGGCGCCGUGGCGGUAGGGGUGACCAUCCUGCACGCGGUCGCCGACGGCCAGGCCGUGUGGCAGUUCAUGCGGGCGUGGUCGACGGCGUCGCGGGCGGGCGCCGCCGCGCUAGUGGGGCUCGUGCCGCCGCCCACGUUUGACCGGUCUCCGAUCCUGCAGCACCCCAUCGCCGCGGAGCUGUCCCGAACUUUCUUGCGCUUCUUCGCGCCGGCGCUGCCUCUGCUGAGGUCGCCACCGAGCACAUCUUCCACGGUGGACACGGCGCCGCAGAUCCGAAGGACCUUCGUGCUCACCGCCGACCAGAUCCGGUCCCUGAAGCAGCAGUGCGUUCCGCAAAGCGGCCAGAGCCUGCCGCCUGCGAGCACCUACGUCACCAUCUCGUCCCUCGUGUGGGCGUCCAUCGUCCGCGCCAAGUCCAUGGACCACGCGGACGACACCCACUUCAUGGUCGCCGCGGACUGCCGGCGCCGGCUGCGCCCGGCGCCCGGCGAGGGCUACUUCGGGAACUGCAUCCGGCCGUGCUUCGCUCGGGCCAACGUGGGCGAGCUGCGCGGCGAGGGCGGGGUGGCGCGCGCGGCGGCGGCCAUCCGGGAGCGCGUCCGCGAGGACCUGGAGCGGACCUCGGACCCGCUGGAGGGGAUGGAGCGCGUGCUGGAUGUCGUCCGCGGCGUGCCCAGGGAGCGGCUGACCUCGGUGGCGUCGUCGCACCGGUUCAUGGCGUACGAGACGGACUUCGGGUGGGGCGCCCCGAGCCGCGUCGAGCUCGUCUCCAUGUUCGCGGCGGAGCUGGUGACGCUGCUCGGUGCGAAGCAGGCCGGCGCCGUGCAGGUGUCCGUGGCGCUUCGCCGGCACCUGAUGGAGGCGUUCGCGGCCAACUUCCUUGCGCUGGCCGGGAGCAGCUAG
rnacentral:rRNA from 1 species